CAUUUUUGUGCCUAUGUACUUCGUUGUAAAUUUUUUCCUUUUGAUAUUCAAUGGUAGGAUGGGAGAAGGCUGAAAAUGAAGUCUUGGUGCUAAAGAAACAACUGGAGGCUGCAACACAAAGGAACUAGACACUAGAAGAUCGAAUCAGUCAUCUUGAUAGAGCACUUAAGGAAUGUGUGAGGCAGCUCAGACAGGUGAGGAAUGAGCAAGAGCAGAAGAUCCAAGAAGCUGUGGUCAAGAAAACUCGUGAGUGGGAAUCAACAAAGGCCGAGCUUGAGACUAAGCUUUCCAAUGUCCAUGCUAGCUUCAAGCAGCCAAGAGUGAAGCUUCUUCAGUUAUAUGUUCUGAUCUCGCCCUAGGCUUGAUGCUGCUGAAAAAGAGAAUGUGGCCCUCAAAGCCAAAGUCCUUUCUAUGUUGGAGGAGCUAGAACUUAGGAUUAUUGAGCGUAAUUUGAGCACCCAAGCAGCAGAAACAGCCAGCAAACAGCAUUUGGAGAGCAUAAAGAGGUAGCUAGGCUGGAAGCCAAAUGCCGUAGACUCAGAGCCAUGUCUCGGAAAGCAAGUGUGACAAAUGAUCUUAAGUCUUACAGCAGAUGAGGAAAACUAUGACAAGUUGAAUGAAGCACUUGCAAGAGGAGACCACUCAUGGACUGCCCUAACAUUAAAGUUGUGCAGUUCUCUGGAAGUGGCUAAUAAGUUGGUCCAAUUGACACACGGGAAUGCUGGAUUGCUGUUAGAGAAGGUUGAAGAGCUCGAGAAGAUUAUU